GACGAACGCUGGCGGCGUGCUUAACACAUGCAAGUCGAACGGAAAGACCCUGCUUUUGUGGGGUGCUCGAGUGGCGAACGGGUGAGUAACACGUGAGUAACCUGCCCUUGACUUUGGGAUAACUUCAGGAAACUGGGGCUAAUACCGGAUAGGAGCUCCUGCUGCAUGGUGGGGGUUGGAAAGUUUCGGCGGUUGGGGAUGGACUCGCGGCUGAUCGGCUUGUUGGUGGGGUAGUGGCUUACCAAGGCUUGGACGGGUAGCCGGCUUGAGAGGGUGACCGGGCACAUUGGGACUGAGAUACGGCCCAGACUCCUACGGGAGGCAGCAGUGGGGAAUAUUGCACAAUGGGCGGAAGUCUGAUGCAGCAACGCCGCGUGCGGGAUGACGGCCUUCGGGUUGUAAACCGCUUUCGCCUGUGACGAAGCGUGAGUGACGGUAAUGGGUAAAGAAGCACCGGCUAACUACGUG
rnacentral:rRNA from 1 species